GACGAACCGGACAAACGUUAUCCGGAAUUAUUGGGCGUAAAGAGCUCGUAGGCGGUUUGUCGCGUCUAUCGUGAAAGUCCGAGGCUCAACCUCGGAUCUGCGGUGGGUACGGGCAGACUAGAGUGAUGUAGGGGAGACUGGAAUUCCUGGUGUAGCGGUGAAAUGCGCAGAUAUCAGGAGGAACACCGAUGGCGAAGGCAGGUCUCUGGGCAUUAACUGACGCUGAGGAGCGAAAGCAUGGGGAGCGAACAGG
rnacentral:misc_RNA from 1 species